rnacentral:miRNA from 12 species
UGCCGGGAAACUACAGGACCGA